AGAGUUUGAUCAUGGCUCAGAUUGAACGCUGGCGGCGUGCCUAACACAUGCAAGUCGAGCGGUAACAGGUGUAGCAAUACAUGCUGACGAGCGGCGAACGGGUGAGUAAUGCUUUGGAAUCUUCCCAGUAGUGGGGAACAACCAGUCGAAAGAUUGGCUAAUACCGCAUACGUCUGUGAAGAGAAAGCGGGGGAUCGUAAGACCUCGCGCUAUUGGAUGAGCCAAAGUCGGAUUAGCUAGUUGGUGAGGUAAUGGCUCACCAAGGCGACAAUCCGUAGCUGGUCUGAGAGGACGACCAGCCACACCGGAACUGAGACACGGUCCGGACUCCUACGGGAGGCAGCAGUGGGGAAUAUUGGACAAUGGGGGAAACCCUGAUCCAGCGACGCCGCGUGUGUGAAGAAGGCCUGCGGGUUGUAAAGCACUUUUAGUGGGGACAAAAAGUCAUAGGCGAAUAACCUGUGAUCUUGAUUUAACUCACAGAAAAAGCACCGGCUAACUCUGUGCCAGCAGCCGCGGUAAUACAGAGGGUGCGAGCGUUAAUCGGAAUUACUGGGCGUAAAGCGCGCGUAGACGGUUUUGUAAGUCAGAUGUGAAAUCCCCGGGCUCAACCUGGGAACUGCAUUUUGGUACUGCAUGGCUAGAGUAUCGAAGAGGGAAGUGGAAUUUCCGGUGUAGCGGUGAAAUGCGUAGAUAUCGGAAGGAACACCAGUGGCGAAAGCGACUUCCUGGUCGAAUACUGACGUUCAUGUGCGAAAGCGUGGGGAGCAAACAGGAUUAGAUACCCUAGUAGUCC
rnacentral:rRNA from 1 species